UAGGGAAUAUUGCACAAUGGGCGCAAGCCUGAUGCAGCAACGCCGCGUGCGCGAUGAAGGCCUUCGGGUCGUAAAGCGCUUUUCUGGAGGACGAGGAAGGACGGUACUCCAGGAAGAAGGCUCGGCUAACUACGUGCCAGCAGCCGCGGUAAAACGUAGGAGCCUAGCGUUAUCCGAAUUUACUGGGCGUAAAGCGCAUGUAGGCGGCUGGGUAAGUUGGCUGUGAAAUCUCCCGGCUCAACUGGGAGAGGCCGGUCAAGACUGCCUGGCUGGAGGCUGGUAGAGGGAGGUGGAAUUCCCGGUGUAGUGGUGAAAUGCGUAGAUAUCGGGAGGAACACCAGUGGCGAAAGCGGCCUCCUGGACCAGACCUGACGCUCAGAUGCGAAAGCUAGGGGAGUGAACGGGAUUAGAAACCCGGUAUCCUAGCUGUAAACGAUGUCGACUUGGCGUCGGUGGGGUAAAAGCCAGCGGUGCCGGAGCUAACGCAGU
rnacentral:rRNA from 1 species